CCCCCUUGGCUACCCGCUAUAAUGCAGUCGACGACUUCCGUUAAUUGAUUAUGACGUACUUGUACUGAUUGAGAUUUUAACACGAAGUGAGUGGCGAACGGGUGAGUAACACGUGGGUAACCUGCCCAGAAGUAGGGGAUAACACCUGGAAACAGAUGCUAAUACCGUAUAACAGAGAAAACCGCAUGGUUUUCUUUUAAAAGAUGGCUCUGCUAUCACUUCUGGAUGGACCCGCGGCGUAUUAGCUAGUUGGUGAGGUAAAGGCUCACCAAGGCAGUGAUACGUAGCCGACCUGAGAGGGUAAUCGGCCACAUUGGGACUGAGACACGGCCCAGACUCCUACGGGAGGCAGCAGUAGGGAAUCUUCCACAAUGGACGCAAGUCUGAUGGAGCAACGCCGCGUGAGUGAAGAAGGGUUUCGGCUCGUAAAGCUCUGUUGUUAAAGAAGAACGUGGGUAAGAGUAACUGUUUACCCAGUGACGGUAUUUAACCAGAAAGCCACGGCUAACUACGUGCCAGCAGCCGCGGUAAUACGUAGGUGGCAAGCGUUAUCCGGAUUUAUUGGGCGUAAAGCGAGCGCAGGCGGUCUUUUAAGUCUAAUGUGAAAGCCUUCGGCUCAACCGAAGAAGUGCAUUGGAAACUGGGAGACUUGAGUGCAGAAGAGGACAGUGGAACUCCAUGUGUAGCGGUGAAAUGCGUAGAUAUAUGGAAGAACACCAGUGGCGAAGGCGGCUGUCUGGUCUGCAACUGACGCUGAGGCUCGAAAGCAUGGGUAGCGAACAGGAUUAGAUACCCUGGUAGUCCAUGCCGUAAACGAUGAUUACUAAGUGUUGGAGGGUUUCCGCCCUUCAGUGCUGCAGCUAACGCAUUAAGUAAUCCGCCUGGGGAGUACGACCGCAAGGUUGAAACUCAAAAGAAUUGACGGGGGCCGCACAAGCCGUGAGCAUGUGUUUAUCGAGCUACGCGAAGAACCUUACCAGUCUUGACAUCUCUGAACAGUCUAGAAGAUAAGAGUU
rnacentral:rRNA from 1 species